GAUUAGUUAACCAUUCUUCUAAUUUGUGAUGUAAUUUUUAAAAAAAAUUCCUAUUGUAGAAGCUUUUAAUAAAACUUGCAGGUUCCCUACAUAUGUGGGAGCUGUGGUGGCGCAAUGGUUAGAAUACAGUACUGCAGGCUGACUCUAACCACUGCUAGGAGUUCAAUCUUGACUGGCUCAAGGUUGACUCAAGUUUCCUUUCUUCCGAGGUUGGUAUAAUGAGGACCCAGAUUGUUGGGGACAAUAUGCUGACUCUGUAAAGCUUACUGUAAAGCACUACCGUUUCCCCCCGAAAAUAAGAUCCUGUCUUAUAUUUUUUUGAACCCCAAAAUAAGCGCUUGGCCUUAUUUUCAGCGAGGUCUUUUUAUUUUGGGGUGCAUGGAGGAAACCAGAGGAAACGGCGGGGAACGGCUGCUCAUGCGUUUAAAUAUUUUCGGGGAGGGCUUAUUUUCAGCAGGGUUUAUUUUAGUGCAUGCGCUCAAAAGCCCGAUUGGGCUUAUUAUCAGAGGAUGUCUGAUUUUAGGGAAAACAGGGUAUGAAGUUGCUAAGUGUUAUUACUAUAUGCAACUUUGUAUGCAGAACUUUCUGCAUGUAUGAAAUCUGAAGAACUUUAUAAUUAAAAUUAUUUUAUUUAAAAAAAUCUUACAUUUUGAAAUGCAAGAUGUGCAUAUUGAACCUUCUAGGCACCUUUCCAAUUACAUUAAAGUUAAAGCUCAGUGCUAAUGCAAGUAAUACUCCCCAAUGGUUUAGCUAUAUUUAUAUCCUGAACUAGAUUUUUGAAAUUUUCUGGUAUUAAAAUCAUGGUCACUGCUCUUACUUCAGCUUCAUCCUAAAUAAUUCUGUCUUAGAGCAGUUAAUUGCACCUAGAAAUAGUGUUGCUGAUACAGCCUUCCCCAACCUGGUAUCUUCAGAUGUACAUGGUGACAAUUGUCUAUUGGAAUCCCCUCAGAGAAUUCUGUGGGAAUUCUGUGUUCCAAUGAAUCUGGAAGCAUUCAGUUGAGAAACACUACGUAGAUUAAGUUCUGUAAACCCAGCCUGCAUGAAGCAAAUUGAAAUUCCUCACUAUAAGUGUCUUACCAUGUCUUUUGCCAUUUCAGGAUGCUAUCACUGCUAAGUCGAGAGACAAAUAUUUGCCCAUACAUGAAUACUGUAAGAACAGCCUUUAAGAGCUAGAAAUGGAAUUUAUUUCUGGCUAGACAUUUCACUUUUGGAAUAAGAGGCAUGGUAGGUAACAUCACAAAUGUGGGUGACACCAACAUUUUUGGAUCUUUUAUGCAAUUUGGAGGGCAGGAAAGAUAAAAGGACAAUGGAUUUUUUUUUAAUUGUCUGAUAGAGCUUCAAGAUACCCAUACUGAAUUUUAAAUCCCCAAAGAGAAAAUCAUCUCAUGGAGGGUUUCAGGGCCUAAGCCUCUACCAAGAAUAAAGAAUCACAGAACAGAAAUCUUGAGAGGACUCUUGGAAUUGGUGACUAUAGCAUCCUCAAUAAAUGACCAAGGAGAAUCCACUACUAUCCAAAAUAGUGUUCUACUAUCAAGACAAAAAAAAUAUAAAUCCAACCAUCUUUUUUUCUCUGCACAA